rnacentral:rRNA from 1 species
UGCAGUUGAGCGCUGAAGGUUGGUACUUGUACCGACUGGAUGAGCAGCGAACGGGUGAGUAACGCGUGGGGAAUCUGCCUUUGAGCGGGGGACAACAUUUGGAAACGAAUGCUAAUACCGCAUAAAAACUUUAAACACAAGUUUUAAGUUUGAAAGAUGCAAUUGCAUCACUCAAAGAUGAUCCCGCGUUGUAUUAGCUAGUUGGUGAGGUAAAGGCUCACCAAGGCGAUGAUACAUAGCCGACCUGAGAGGGUGAUCGGCCACAUUGGGACUGAGACACGGCCCAAACUCCUACGGGAGGCAGCAGUAGGGAAUCUUCGGCAAUGGACGAAAGUCUGACCGAGCAACGCCGCGUGAGUGAAGAAGGUUUUCGGAUCGUAAAACUCUGUUGGUAGAGAAGAACGUUGGUGAGAGUGGAAAGCUCAUCAAGUGACGGUAACUACCCAGAAAGGGACGGCUAACUACGUGCCAGCAGCCGCGGUAAUACGUAGGUCCCGAGCGUUGUCCGGAUUUAUUGGGCGUAAAGCGAGCGCAGGUGGUUUAUUAAGUCUGGUGUAAAAGGCAGUGGCUCAACCAUUGUAUGCAUUGGAAACUGGUAGACUUGAGUGCAGGAGAGGAGAGUGGAAUUCCAUGUGUAGCGGUGAAAUGCGUAGAUAUAUGGAGGAACACCGGUGGCGAAAGCGGCUCUCUGGCCUGUAACUGACACUGAGGCUCGAAAGCGUGGGGAGCAAACAGGAUUAGAUACCCUGGUAGUCCACGCCGUAAACGAUGAGUGCUAGAUGUAGGGAGCUAUAAGUUCUCUGUAUCGCAGCUAACGCAAUAAGCACUCCGCCUGGGGAGUACGACCGCAAGGUUGAAACUCAAAGGAAUUGACGGGGGCCCGCACAAGCGGGGGAACAUGUGGUUUAAUUCAAACAACGCGAAAAACCUUACCAGG